CCCUUAGAUGUUCUGGGCCGCACGCGUGCUACACUGAGUGGAUCAGCGGGUCAGGUUGCGCGAAAGUGUUUCCUAAUCUUUAAAUCCGCUCGUGAUGGGGAUUGACGGUUGCAAUUUUCCGUCAUGAACGAGGAAUACCUUGUAAGCGCGGGUCAUCAUCCCGCGCUGAAUACGUCCCUGCCCUUUGUACACACCGCCCGUCGCUCCUACCGAUUGAGUGGUCCGGUGAGGCUUUGGGAUCUGAGCGGAAAUGGCGUUUCGCUGUUUCUGCCCGGAAAACUCAGUCGAACCUUAUCAUUUAGAGGAAGGAGAAGUCGUAACA
rnacentral:rRNA from 1 species